rfam:Gasterosteus aculeatus cont1.007724, whole genome shotgun sequence.
UCCCUGAUUGUCUAGUGGCUAGGAUUUGGUGCUUUCACCGCUGUGGCCCAGGUUCAAUUUCCGGUCAGGGAA